GCCGGGGUGGUGAAAUGGCAAACACGCAGGUUUCAAAAACCUGUGACCUUAACGGUUUUGAGGGUUCAACUCCCUCCCCUGGCACAA
rnacentral:tRNA from 2 species